ACAUUACUCCCUCCGACCCAUAUUACAAAAUAUUACAUGUAUCUAGACGCUUUUUAAACAUAGAUACAUUCAUAUUUGGGCAAAUUUGAGAAAAGUAAUAUGGGUCGGAGGGAGUAUUAU
rnacentral:pre_miRNA from 1 species